CAUGUACUUCCUCCGUCCGUAAUUACUUGUUGGAGAAAUGGAUGUAUCUAGACGUAUUUUAGUUCUAGAUACAUCCAUUUUUAUCCAUUUUCGUAACAAAUAAUUCCGGACGGAGAGAGUAGGUG
rfam:Triticum aestivum genome assembly, contig: Triticum_aestivum_CS42_TGACv1_scaffold_542463_6DS